AGGAACUUGCUAAAUUCUUGCAAGUUACCUGGCAGUUUCAUAUACCCUAUCAUCCACAGAAUACAGGGGUAGUUGAAAGGAUGAAUAGGACUAUUAAGGAAAAGCCCAGAAUUUACCCAGGAACAUGGGUAAAUUGGACUAGAUAUCUACCAGCUAUUUUAGCUGAGAUAAGAGUGAUUCCUCACAAGGUGACUAAAUUAUCUCCAUUUGAGAUUUUGAUGGGAUGACCUUUUCCCACACCCUGGGCCAGGGAACUGCUUGUUAUAAUGUCUGGGGAUUUACAGCUAAUACAAGAACAAUAUGUACAGGAGUUGUUGAUAAAACUGAAUGGUAUGUAUGACAAUGUUUCUUCGCAGUUUUCCCUUACCUUCACAGGAACCUACUCAUUCAUACCAGCCCGGUGACAAGGUGUAUAUCCGUCAGUUGAACAGGACCAAGAAAGGAGGAUACCCUUUUGGACCACCUGCUACUGUGAUUGCUGUACCCAUAACCGCUGUCCUCACAGAUUCCC